GUACCUUCAAGCUUGUCAUUGCAAUCUUUGAGCUCUACGCAAGGUCAAGAAAAGUUGUGGAAGGUUCUCUUUGAGUUUCCACAAGGCAAGCACUCUCUCAGCCGGUAAAUUCUUGUUGUAUUCUGAUGCUUUGAGAUUUUUAUACUCUGUUUUCCUUGGUUGGAUCAAAUUGUUGUCUUUGAUGUUUCAGUCCUCGUUCGCCAAUCACUGAUUACAUUCUGUCUUUGGUGAAAGUUAAUCACUAAAAUUAACUUUUUUCUGCUUGGUUAAAUAAGCUAGGAUUUAACUAGUACAAUGUGGAUGAGCAACUAAUGACAAUGACUUUAGGGAAGUGUUAAUUUUCACAAUGGGACUACGUAUAGCAAUGUUUUAAUGUUAAGUAGAUUCUCAUUACCUAUUUAUUAGUAGCUGGGAAUAUUACUCAUAAAAAGCUGGAACAGAUAUGUAGCGAAACACUUUUCAACACCAAAAAGUUAUGAAGCAAUAUUUAUUGGGCUAUUGGUAUUGGCAUGAUCUAUACCACGCAAACGAAAUGAGAAAAUGCACAACUUCUAUAAAUUACUUUAUUCGUAGAAAUGAUAGAAAUAUGUAUAUUCUUAUUCUCCCAUGUGUCAUGUUAUUCCAUCAUCUGUUCAGGGCCCUAAAAAUACGUAAGUUGAAAAAAGUUUAUUUCAUGAUAUUAUUCAAAGUCAUAAUGGUCUUAUGAUAUUCCGAAAGANNNNNNNNNNNNNNNNNNNNNNNNNNNNNNNNNNNNNNNNNNNNNNNNNNNNNNNNNNNNNNNNNNNNNNNNNNNNNNNNNNNNNNNNNNNNNNNNNNNNNNNNNNNNNNNNNNNNNNNNNNNNNNNNNNNNNNNNNNNNNNNNNNNNNNNNNNNNNNNNNNNNNNNNNNNNNNNNNNNNNNNNNNNNNNNNNNNNNNNNNNNNNNNNNNNNNNNNNNNNNNNNNNNNNNNNNNNNNNNNNNNNNNNNNNNNNNNNNNNNNNNNNNNNNNNNNNNUAUACGCACCACCACCUGAUCAGCUGGUAUACAAUGGUGAUGUUGCCCACAGUGGCUGAAAUAUGACUCAGACGGCGGUAUAUACGCAUAUAUAUGUAUAUAUAUGUAGUGUGGGAGUAUGGAAAAAAGGUAACGACGUUAUAUAUGCAUCACCACCUGAUCAGCUGGUAUACGUUGAUGAUUUUGCCCACAACGGCUGAGAUGAUAUGAUGGGAUGCCCUCAGAGGAUUGACGAUAUUAUGUACGUACAGACUUAUGCAUUACAUGACAUAUACACGCAUAUGCAUGACCUUAUGAAUAUUUCAUGAUUUACAUAGCUAUCCAGAUUUACAAGUAUAGAUAAUCAGUUUGACGAGCCCUCAUAGUAGACGAGAUUGGCAUUCAGCGAACGAUCAGUAAGACUCCACCUCAUUCGGAGUGCAGCCGAGUCUAUGAGUCACCGUGUUAGAGUUUUUCUACAGAUCUAUAGAAGGCCGGCACCCUGUCCCAUUUGAUGUCGAAAAAUCCUAGAGGCUUUAUAGACAAAGGUUCAGUUUGUACAGUAUGUCAAAGGCCUUGACGACCCAUAUAUAUUCAUGUUUUAAGAAAAAUGGUUUAGUGAUACGACAUUUUCCAUUUAAAAUUUUAUAUUAUGAGUUGUGGCCAUGUUGGCCCAUGAUAGUUAUAAAAAGGAAUGAAUGAGUUAUAGAGUGGUUCGCUCGGGCUACUAUGGCACCGGGUGCCAGCCACGCCUCCCCAGGGUUCCCCCAAUGCUUUGAAGUUAAAAUUGGAAGAAAUAAGUCAAAAACCAACAAAGGUAAAAUAAAGUUAAAAAGGGUUAAGUCCUACGUGACCAACCGUCAUGGCAAAGUUUGGAAAAGUCCAAUGGUUCUCCGGGUCCAGAAGGGCAAUCGAUAUUCAGGAAAUAACCAGACGUAGUUGAAAUCAUCGUCAAAAGAAGAUUGGCCGAGAUCAAGUGACUGAAAUACUCAAGGCCACAAAAUCAACCACCAUUUCAAACUAACAAGUGUUCUUUGUUUGAAAAAUAGGAAACGGGUGCAAUCCAAAAGCGACUUUACAAGAAGCAGGUACAACCAAAAGGAAACUGCGCGAGGGUUAGAAACAACUAUGUAGCAGUAAAAACUCCAAAAAGGGAAGUCUUAUCCAAGUUCUUUCCCGCAUUUUUCUCAUUCUCUUAAUAAAAAGAAGAGAGAAAAGAAAGAAAGUUUAAAACCAUGGUAGUAUAGGGUACACCAAUCCCUAGCUGCAUUUUCCAACAUAAGGUCUCCACUCCCUAGUUGAUGUUAUUUUAGACAUAGGGUCUCUGCUCCCUAGUCUCCUUUUCCAAUAUAGGUUCUCCACUCCCUAGUAUGUUUUUCCAACAUAGGGUCUCCACUUCCUAGUUGAUAUUAUUUUAGACAUUGGAUCUUCACUCCCUAGUUGAUGUUAUUUUAGACAUAGGAUCUCCACUCCCUAGUCUUCUUUUCCAACAUAGAAUCUUCACUCCCUAGUUGAUGUUAUUUUAGACAUAGGGUCUUCACUCCCUGGUCUCUUUUUCCAACAUAUGGUCUCAACUCCCUAGUUGAAAUUAUUUUAGACAUAAGGUCUCCACUCCCUAGUCUCUUUUUCUAACAUAGGGUCUCCACUCCCAAGUUGAAGUUAUUUUAGACAUAGGGUUUCCACUCCCUAGUUUCUUUUUCCAACAUAGGGUCUUCACUGCCCGAUUGAUUUUAUUGCAUACAUAGGGUCUCCACUCCCUAGUUUCCUUUUCCAACAUAGGGUGUCCACUCCCUAGUUGAUGUUAUUUUAGACAUUCGGUCCCCACUCCCUAGUUGAUGUAUUUCAGACAUAGGGUUUCUACUCCCUAGUCUUCUUUUCCAACAUAGGGCAUCCACUCCCUAGUUGAUGUUAUUUCAGAUAUAGGGUCUCCACUCCCUAGACUCCUUACCAGUAUAGGAUAUACCGAUCCCUAGAUGUGUUUUCCAAUUUAAGGUACAUCAAUCCUUCGAUGAGGCACCAUUUUGGUAAUCAGGGUACACCAUUCCCAAUCAUGUUUUUCUAGGAUGCACCAAUCCCGACCUUUUAUUGCUUUUAAUAAUGAAGUAGUAUAGAGAUUUAUUAUAAAUAACUCACGAAAUUUUCUUAGUGAAACUGGAGUAGAAAAUGUUGUUCGUUUAUUUGUUUUGGUGUCUAAGUAGGUUCACCUCGAGGCACGGGGUUCGAGAUGACCAAGAGAAGAAGUCUCAAUCCAAAAUAAAGAAAAGAAAAGAAAAGAAAAAGGUGAAUCCAAAAUGCAGAAGCGGAUGAAAGGAUGUAGACUGCACAAGACAUGACUAAAGGCACGAGCAUCGCAUUUUCCGUUUAGAUCAGAAAGAAGCUUUAGAAGAAUUAACUAACACCUGUAGCUUGCAAGCAUCAUGAUUCAGAUUAGAUUCUGCAUAAAGAACCGGUCAAGGCUCAAGAUCAAGUUUCAAGAAACUUAUAGAUAGGAAUCUUGUAACUCAUAGCUGAUAGGAUUGUUUAGUUUCUUUUCAUUUUGAUUUGGUGUAAUAAGGAGUUCAGCAAGCAGCAACAACAGUGAAGUCACAACCUUUUGGUAGUCCCAACUAUCAAAACAUCCAGAACUAUAUUGACCUGAUUCUUUUGUAGCCAAGGAUGUGUAGGCAACCUCCGAAGCAAGGUUCGGUCAAAGUUUUAUAAAAUGUUUUCCAUAGGGUAUCAAAUGGGAAAAUAUUACUCAUAAUUGCUCACUUUAUCUUUGCCCGAAAACUCUUCAUGCUUUCGAGCAAAAAGGAAAAGUUGUGGGCACGUAAUUUUUGCCCUGCCUAAAUUACUCCUUAAAAAUUUACAAAAAUAAUUCUUUCUUGGUGUUUUUUUUUCAUUUUUAGAAUCUCUAGGAAUUUCUCUUUAUUCGUUUUUUUGAAUUUAUUUUCAUUUAUUUGCAUUCAUGCUUAUGUAGAAAUAUUUUAAAAUCUUUAAAAAAUCCUGAAUUUUUUUAUCUUUCACAUUUUGCAUUUUAGAUUUUAAUUGCAUUUUUAGGAUUUAAUCACAUAUUAACUUCAUAGUUAAUAAUUGAAAAUCAUAAAAAAUUAAAUCACAUUAGCUUAUUUCUUUGGCAUGUUGGUAAUUAAAUAGUUCAAUUUUAAUUUAAAUUAGUUUAAUUGCUAAUUAGGUCAUUUUCGCAAAAUAGUUUUAAUUUGGUUAAGUUUGAAAAAUUAAAUAAAGAGUAAUGGGGUUGUUCUCUUUAGGCUCUGAAAUUGGGCCAGCUUCAGGCGGCCCAAAACCCCUCAAGCCCGUCCAACCCCCUCCCAUUAUCUUGCCCAGACCCCUACUAAAUCUUAACGACACCGUUUUUGUCACGUUCAAUCUCCACCGUCUAUCCCCUCUAGUCCAAUGGAUGGGAACUCAUCACCCCUUUCCUUAUAGUUGUCUGAACUGCCCCCCAAACCCUAGAAACCAUUUCUAUUCUCCAGCUCCUUCAUCACCUAACGCUAGCAGUUACACCACCAGAGCCAUCUCUAGCGGCUCACCUCCAAAUACCCUCAAACCUUCACCAAAUAAACCUCACCUCCCCCUCUCCUAAAAUCCCAUAACCAUUCCCGUCAAAUAUCCUUAGAACUGCUCAAUUUUGAAAUCUAAAAAAAAGUCUGAAAAACCUAGGUUUGUCUCUUUUCUAUUUUUUCAUGAUUUUUGAUUCGUUUUGGCUCAAACUCAUGUGAAUAGAUUGCUCUUAACACGAUCAAUUGUUUUAUGUUAUUUUGGUUCAUUUCGAAGUCAUCGGACCAUUGUCAAACGGCCACUAACGGGACAAACCUCGCUAAAGAUCGUUUUAUUGCUUCGUCUUUCUUUCAAUAGGUAUACCCUCACCUCAUUCUAUCAUAUUUUCAUUUUUGUUGGUUAAAAACAGUGUGUUAAUUAUUUAGGCAUUUAAUCAAAAAAUAUUUUUAUUUGUUUAAUUUAGUUUUAACCAGAAUAGCUUAGUUCAUAAAUUAACCAUAGCUUUGCAUCCAAGUUUGUUAAUUACUUUUUUACAUGAUUAGAGUAAAUAAUUAAAUGCAUGAUUAGCAGUUUCAAUUAUAUGAUAAUUAGUCUAAUUGUCUAAGUUUAGGUUAAUUGGUCCAGAUUUAAUUUGAUAUUGAAGCAGGUUAUUGAUUCAGGUUUUGCAUAUUGUUUGUUUUAGUCCGUUUGCUCUUUUGGUACGGUUUAUUUGUAAUUACAAGAAGUUUAAGAGGUUAAGGGAAUAUGGAAAUUAGAGAAUCUUAAAUGGUUAUGUAGGAGGUUUCUAGAAGGGAUUAAAAUGCAAUAAAAAAGGAAAUUAGGUGAAAAUUGGGGUAAAAGGGGUAAAAUUCAGAAGUUAAGGAGGGGGGGAAAGGAUAAGGAAAGAAUCAUCCGAAUGCGAUAACCGUCCAUUUCUGUUAAAAAUCCUCUUUCCCUUUUUAAAGAGGCUUACAGAUUCUCCUACACCCUCUAUCAUUCUCUAAUACAACAUACCUUCACCUUCCAUAUAAGGACACACAUUCCUUCACUCACACAGACACUAAUUUCUGCAUUUUCAAACAACAUAUUCCUCUCAUUUGAGACUGAUUUCUGCACUUUUCAGAUAAUUCUCUUAUUGUAACAAUCCUGCCAGUCAUUUCAUGAGUUACCGCUCCAUUUCCCCCCAUUAUUUAUUUCUUUAUGUAUUGUUCAGCUGUAUUAUGUCGUAUUGGGAUUGUUGGUUCGGGUUUGGUGUGGUUUUGUAGCGAAAUGAGACACUUAGUCUCUUUUGAGCAAGCUUAAAUUGGAAAAGUCAACCGAAUAUUGACUUAUGUAAAAAAGGUCUUGGAUGUGAAUUCCGAUGUUUUGGAUAGAUUCAUUAGAUGAUUUGAGACUUAGAAGCAUAAUUGGAAUGUAUUUUGGAGGUCCGCGGUAGAUUUAGGCUUGAGUUGGCGAAAUUGGAAAUUUGGCAUUUUCCGGCCGGUAGUGAAAAUUUUGAUAUCGGGGUCGGAAUAGAAUUUCGAAAAUUAGAGUUGGUCUGUUGUGUCAGUUGUGAUGUGUGUGCAAAAUUUUAGGUCAUUCGGGUGAGGUUUGAUAUACUUUUUGAUCGUUUGCGGAAUUCGGAUGUUCUAGAAUCUUUAGGCUUGAAUACGAGGGUGAUUUGAUGUUUUGAUGUUGUUUUGAGUGUUUCGAAGGUUGGAAUAAGUUUGAAUGAUGUUAUGGGAUGUGUUGGCAUGUUUGAUUGAGGUACGGAAGGCCUCGGGUAUGUUUCGGAUGCUCAACGGGUUAUUUUUGGACUUGAGGACUUAGUAGAUUUUGCUGGUUUUCUGUUGCAAAGAUUUUGUUCAUCGCAUUCGCGAAGGGUGUCUCGCAUUCGCGAAGAGUGUCUUCUGUGGUGGUGGAUUUUUUCUACGCAUUCGCGAAGGAUUGGACGCGAACUCAAAGAUUAAGGCAUCAUGUGCAUCGAGGACGCGUGAGUGGGGUAGCAUUCGCGAAGAGGAGUGAGGCAGUUGGGGACCCCAGGUCUUUGGUCUAUGCGUUCGGGAGGCGAGGUCCGCGUUUGCAAAGGAUUGAGUUGGUUAAGCAUCACAUUUAGGAAGAAGUUAUCGUGGUCGCGAAGGGUUAAGCGGAGGCAGUCUAAGUUUGGCCAACGUUAACACGAGAGGACGGUUGCUUUAGCGAUGAAGAGAGUACCUGGGCAAAAUGUAUAAAAACCCAUCUUCGCGAUUUUUAGCCCAUUUCUCACAAUUUUUGAACGUCUUUGAAGCUUUUUGAGAGGAUUUGAAGAGGGAAUCGAAGGGAAAUAUUUGGAGGUAAGGUUUUUGAACUCAAUACUCGAUUCUAUGGUAAUUUCUAACUAUUUAUACAUGAAAUUAAUGGGAUUUAAGGCCUAAAAUUGGGGAUUUAGGGCUUCAAAUUGGAGAGUGUAAUCUGGGGAUUUGAGGGGUCAUUUGAGGUCCGAUUGUGAUGUUCUUGGUAUGUAUAUACUCGUGGGAGGAUAAAGAUUCUAUUAAUGUAAUUUUUAUCGUAUUCCGAGAUGUGGACCCGACGGUUGGGUUUGGCCAAUUUCGGGAUUUUUUAGUCAAUUUGAUUAUUUUCGCUUAGGAUUUGUUCCUUUAGCACGUAUUAAUGGUAUGAUACUGGUUUUGGUUAGAUUUGGAGCAUCAGGAGGCCGCGUUGAGAGGCAAAGGCAUCGUUGGAUGAAGUUUGGACCGGAUUGAGGUAAGUAAUGAUUGUAAAUGUUGUCCUGAGGGUAUGAAACCCCGAAUUUCACAUCGUGGUGCUAUUUUGAGGUGACGCAUGCUAGAUGCCGAGCAUGGGGUCGUGCACCGUUGGGGAUUGUGACUUGGUAUCCCAUACGACUGUUAAGUCGAGUAUUUGAUUUAAAACUGUUUGAUAUCAUUGUGUUUUGGAAAGUAUUACCAUGUUUUGGGUUGAAUGCCAUAUUUGGGCCUCGUGCCAACUGUUUUUGGACCCUUAGGGGCUUUUUACUACUAUUUCUCACUGUUUUGACUUAAUAUCUAUACUCAGUUAUGUUGUAUUCUACUGUUUUAAUAACUCCGUCCUAUUUACUCCGUUUUGAUAUUUUAAAAGAUAUUUUGGGCUGAGCAUCAUGUUUUACUGUUGCCCGAGUGGCUUGAGAGGUUUCUGACUGAGUGAGGCCGAGGGCCUGUGUUGUGAGGAUACUAUGGGAUUGGGCUGCGCGCCGCAGCAUGUUGUAUUGAUUUGUAAUAUAUGAGAGGUUGAGGGCCUGAUUCGUUAUGCCAUGAGAUGACUUGUGAUAGCGCUUGGGCUGUUGGAGCCCCUUCGGAGUCUGAACACCCCUAGUGAGCGCGAGUACCCAGUGUAAGUGAUGUGAUAUUGCCCGAGGGGCUAUUGUUGUUUCAUGUUGUUGCCUGAGGGGCUGAUUAUGAGUGAUUGUGAGGUAUCCUGAGGGACUAGUUCUGUUGAUAUUUUGCCAAAUGGGCGGUUUAUUGUACAUGUUUUGCCCGAGGGACUAUUUACGUUUCUAUCCUUUUACUCACCAUUUUCAUUACUCGUUUGAAACUAUUGAAAGAUGCUUUAAAAUGGUUUUACUGAACUGAGUUGUUUUACGAGUUAAUUGAUUUAUUGUAUUGUUCUGGAUGUAUAAUAUUUUGUUGUAGUGCUAUGACGCGGAAUUACUGCUCAGAUGCUUUUACUUUUAUUACUUACUGAAUUGGCAUACUCACAUUACUCCCUGCACCUUGCGUGCUGAUCCAAAAGUCUCGGGAAGCGAUAGUUAGUGCUGAUUAGUCUUCCAGCAGGUCUCCAGAGUUGGCUAGGUAGCUGCUUGGCAUUCGUAGCCCAUCACUUCUCCUUCUUAUCUUACUCAGAUUAUCUUAGUAUUUUAUUUUCGGACUAUGUUAGCCUUCAUUAUUCCUAAACGAGUUUGUAGUUGCUCAUGACAAGUGACACCCCGAUUUCGGGAUUGUGUUAUAUUUUUGCACUACUUAUUUAAACUUAUAUUGUGGGAUUUUAGUUAAUUAAUUGCUUAAAAUGACUUCUUAUGAAAUUUCUGGUUGGUUUUGGGUUUGUGUCGGUUGGCCUUGUUUCACAAUAGGCGCCAUCACGACCGGGUUAGUUUUAGGGUCGUGAUAAGUUGGUAUCAGAGCCUAGGUUACAUAUGUCUCACGAGUCAUGAGCAGGUUUAGUAGAGUCUCGCGGAUUGGUACAGAGACGUCUGUACUUAUCCUUAGGAGGCUGCACAACUUUUAGGAAAUAAUUCACAUUCUUGAAUUCUUGUCGUGCGAAUCUGUUGAUUCUGAUAACUAAAAUUUUGUUAUUUUAUUCUCUCAUAGAUGGUGAGGACGUGUGCUACCGGUCAUGAUGGGCGACCACUAGUACCACCAGCUGGGGCCACUAGAGGCCGAGGACGCGAUCGAGGCCGUGGUAGGAGUAGGGGUGUAGCCCGCACUGUAGCUAAGGCAGUACCUACAGAUCCACUAGCCGCUCCAAUUCAUGAUCAGGUCCCAGUUGUGGACGCUCCAGCAGGACCAGCUCAGGCACCCAUUGUUCCCAUUGUGAUUCCAGGCCUUUAGGAGGCCCUAGCCCAGAUUCUAUCAGUAUACACUGGCCUAGCUCAGGCAGUCUCGGUUACUACAGCCGCAACUACUUCUCUGGCCGGGGAAGGCACUCAGACCCCCGCCGCUCACACACCUGAAUAGGUCAUGCAGGGACUUCAGGCACCGGGGGCAACUCCAGCCCAUUCGUUUGCAGCUACUCAGGACUAUGUAGAUCCUGUUAUGCCAGAGGACGAGUAGUGCAAAUUGGAUAAGUUUGGUAGACUUCAGCCUCAAACUUUCAAUGGUGCUGAGGGCGAGGAUGCCUAGGGUUUCUCGGAUAAGUGUUACGAAUGCUUUGAACCGCAGGUAUUCUGGAGACCAGUGGGGUCUCAUUCACUACUUUCCAUUUCUCUGGGGUUGCACUUAGUUGGUGGGAGGCUUACCAGAGGUGUAGGUCGGUUGGCGCAGCGCCCCUUUCUUGGCAGUAGUUCUCCGUUCUCUUUCUUGAGAAGUUCGUACACGAGUCUCGCCGAGAGGAGAUGCGUAGGCAGUUCGAGCAGCUUCGUUAGGGUGACAAAUCUCUUACACAGUAUGAGAUACGGUUCUCCGAGUUGGAUCAUCAUGCGGUCUGGUUGGUUCCCACAUAUCGAGAGAGGAUCAGGAGGUUUAUAGAUGGCCUCGAUUUUCAAUUUCAGUUGCUUAUGACUAGAGAGAGAGUAUCUAGUGCUACCUUUGAUGAGGUUGUUGACAUAGAUUAAGAUGGUUCGUUGUUAGGAUAGGGUUGAGACGGAGGCUAAGAGUCCUUGUGGUCAGGGUGGAUUCAGUGGCGCUCCUCAUGGGGGUCUACUUCAGCACGGCAGAGGCCGUCCAUUCAGGCAUGCUCAGUCAGCUCACCCAGGUUAUCGUGGGGCAUCAUCGGGCCAUGGUUCUCACAGUUCUCAUCAGGGUCAUUCCUCACUCAGUGCCCUCCCAGCCCAGAGUUCGUCCCGUGCUCCAUCACUCUAGGGCUCUUCUAUGCCAGGUUCUUCUGCUAGUCAUCCCGGUGCUAGGGGUUCCCUUCAGUCCCCGUCUCCAGCACUAGGGGGUUAUUAUGAGUGUGGAGAGUUGGGGCACAUAUGGAGGUAGUGUCCGCGUCGUCUUGGGGGUUCAUCUCAGUAGAGGAGUCAGCCAUCGAAUUCAGCACCAGUUACUUCACCACCCAUCCAGCCAGCUAGGGGUGGAGGACAAUCAGCUAGGGGUCACCCCAAAGGGGGAGGUCGAUCAGGUGGUGAUCAGGCCUGUUUCUAUGUACUCCCAGCUAGACCCGAUGCUAUUGCUUCAGAUGUAGUGAUUACAGGUAUUGUCUCAGUUUGCCACAGAGAUGCCUCUGUAUUAUUUGAUAUUGGUUCCACUUUUUCAUAUGUGUCAUCAUAUUUUGCUCGUUAUUUAGUGUAUGCGGUAAAAAUCAAAGUGUCCGAUUUUAUAGUCAUUAUGACACUUCGUAGGCACGUGUCCAAGGGCUCGAGGCCAGGUUCAACCCCGAAGGGUUCUCAGCGUUCGGCCUCGGGGCAGUGCGAAUCGGUACUUAUGAUGGAAAAAUGAGAGAUUCCCAAGUCACGUGACUAAAGUUGACCAAGUCUAUUAGGCUAGUUCAAGCCUGUACCGAGGCAUUAAAUGGCUGUACCAUCUAUAUAUCUUUAUAAUAAAUGCAUUUGUACUAUGUUGGGAUUCCCCAUAAUAUAUAAAGGGGACCCUUAUCAUUUUGUAAAAAAUAUAAUAUCACUUGCAACAUUCAAAACAAGAACAUUCCCUGCUCCCGAACACAUUCUCCCUUGAUUCUAUUAUUUACAUUUAUUGCUUGCAUUUAUUGUGUUCUAUUUAUUGUUCAUCAUUUAUUGCUUGCUAUUAAACAUAAAGAGCCUUCAUCAAAGCUCUCAAUAUUGUUAGCCCUUCAUCGGUUGUCCAUAGAUCAGUAUCGAGCUCGACCUCAAGACCCCAUAUAAUCAGGCUCGAGGCUCCCAUUCUUAGCCGCUCGGUUUGCUUAAACACACUAUUUUCAAGUUCAUACCUUAUUUUCUAGUCUCAUAAUUAGCACAUAUUUCCUAACAACUGGCAUAAAAACAGAUGACGUAUUUUUAGAACUAGAAAAUCAAUCUAAUUGUAAUUACCAUUUUCAAGGUAAAUAGUUUGGCGCCCACCGUGGGGCUAAAAAUAAUAGUGAUUGUUUUCUUGUUGGUUUAACACAUAAUGUAAGUUAUCUUUCACAUUUUUUCUUGCCCAAGAAUCUUUGAUUUCAAGUCAAAAUGUCUAACUCAGUGAAUGCAUAUGAAAAAACGGUCUUGAAUACCAUGAAGAGAAUGGUGUAGCUAUUCCAGGUAUUGGUGUACCGCCACAAAUUUCUGAGGGCACACCAGAGCCAAUCCCCGCGGAUGUGGCUCAACAGAUCGUUAUAAGCUCCCACACUAACAGGAAUGUACGAAAAGGAGACCACAAGAAGCUCAAAAAACCCCAGCAUGGGAGGAAAAAGAGGUUAGCCUUCACGUUAUUUUUGAAAUGUUACAGGCACAACAGCUGGCGAUUGCUCAACUGCAAAGCUAUAAAAAACUCCAAGCACAGCAGCACCGGAAGCGGCUCCUCGAGCCGAACAAAUACUAGAAAGAUCGAGUAACAACGGGUCAGCAACCGACCCCGCUAUUAUAAAGAUGCUUGAGGACCUCACAAAGAGGAUUUAAUUGGGUGAAAAAAUUAUAGAAUCCAACGACAAAAAGGUAGAGACACACAUCUCGAGGAUCGAUCAUGAUCUCGGGCACACCCCUGAUCUUGAAGGGUUUCGUUUUGAAGAAAUUCAUACAAAAGCCAUUCCCGUCAAAUGUCGCCCCAAAGCCUAUCCCAAAGAAAUUCAGAAUGCCCGACCUUCUGAAGUACAACGGAACCUCGGACCCCAAUGAGCACGUCACUGCUUAAAAUUGUGUAGUGAAGGGAAACGACCUGAGGGACGACAAGAUAAAAUCUGUCGUGCUAAAAUGUUUGAGGAAACACUCUAAAAAGGGGCCAUGAUGUCGUAUCACAACCUAGCUCCGAAUUCAAUAGACUCAUUUGCCAUGCUGGCAAAUUCUUUCAUAAAGGUACAUGUUGGUGCCAUCAAGGUGGCUAUAAUGAAAUCUGAUGUCUUCAAAAUCAAACAAAGAGAAAACGAGAUAUUGCAGGAGUUCGUAUCUUGCUUCCAAAUGGAGCGGAUGGAAGUACCGGUGUCUUCGAAGUAGCUGAAGCAGAAUUUGGUUGAAUAUCCCAUUGUGACCUGGUCGGAUGUCCACAACCGGUACCAAUCAAAGAUCAGGGUCGAGGAUGACCAACUGGGAGCCCCCUCAGGCUUGGUAUAUGCAAGCAGACUCCUAGCAAAGGAGACAAAGCCAAACAAGGAAAGGUACCAACCAUACACCGAAGAUAGGAGAAACACCCCAAAGCGUAACAUACCCCGAAAUGAUCGAAGAACAGACCGAGGUCAGAAUCCUCAAGGACUCGUGAGUAGAGUCGAAUUCAAUAGACACACAUGACCGAUGGAGGCACUCCGCCUGUCGGAAUAUAACUUCAACUUUGACGUUUCAGAUAUUAUAUCCGCCAUCAGUAAAAUCAGAGACACCAGGUGGCCAAGACCUAUACUAUCAGAUCCAUCGCAGAGGAACCCCAACUUAGUGUGUGAAUUUCACGGCACAGAUGGUCAUAGGACCAAAGCUUGCAGACAUCUUCGAGAAGAAGUAGCCCAGUUACUCAGCAAAGGGCACCUCCGAGUGUUUCCUUGCGACCGAGCCAAAAAUCAAUUCCGAGAAAGAGAGGCAAACAGGAAAUAUGAAGCAGACGAGCCGCAACAUGUCAUCCAUAUGAUUGUUGGGGGAGUCAACAUCCCACAUGAACCCACUAUUAGAAGAACAAAAAUAUCCAUUACCAGGGAAAAGCAAACUCGAGGUUACAUACCCGAGGACGCUCUCACGUUCAGUGAUGAGGACAUUGAAACCCUGUCUCAGCCUUAUAACGAUGCAUUGGUAAUUUUUUUUCUUGUAAAUACAUUUCAAAUUAAGCAUGUACUUGUGGAUCUAGGUAGCACGACCAAUAUUAUCAGGUCAAGGGUCGUGGAGCAGCUCGGACUGCUCGACCAGAUAGUGCCUGCCUCUCGAGUCCUUGACGGAUUCAACAUGGCGAACAAAACAACAAAAGGGGAAAUCACCCUCCCGGUCAAUGUGGCCGGCACGACUCAAAAUGUCAAAUUUCAUGUCAUCGAAGGGGAUAUGAGGUACAACACCUUGUUCGAAAGGCCAUGGAUACACUGCAUGAGAGCAGUACCAUCAACCCUUUAUCAAAUGAUGAAGUUUCCGAUGAAGGCCGGAACAAAAACCAUGUAUGGGCAAACAGUGAAGUAUCAAUCACGAGACACAUUCUCGACUACACCCGGAUAAAACAAGCAAAGGGUCGUGCCAUGUCCUCAAAACAAACAUAUCGAGGCUCAAAGCGCCAUCACCACUAAGGUAUAACCACCUCCCUUUUCAUUUACAUUUUACACUAAACUUUGUGCAGAUGUUCGAUCAGAACAGUCCAAGCGAUGUCCAGCUUGAAGACCUUAAGGUUUCAAAGCAUACAUUUCACUCUUUUCCUUUGAUCGGGUUUUAUCCCAAGAAGGGUUUUACCGACAUGUUUUUAACGAGGCAACAUCCAUUUUCUACCUAAGGAGAAUUUCAUAAGUAUUCAAGGCUUCACUUCAAUAAACCUCCAACACUGGGGGGGAGGGGGAGACCCCCCGGGAGAUGACCUUCUUGAAGAAGUCAAGAUAAGCCAAAGAGGGUCUCUAUAGGGAAAUGAUGUAUCGGGGCAAACGAUCGAAUGAACCGUGUCCGCAUAAAAUAAUUGAGCCCUCGACAGCGAAAACAUGUAUACUUGUACCAAGUAAUCAAAGAAUAUUUCCCCUCCAACAAAACUCAUUACACUUUUAAGAAGUACGCUUCUUUCAUAAGAAAUGGCUCCAGAGCCAUAGAAUUCCGGAAUACUCGAGGACUGACACCGAAAAUUCGAGGCCACAUGACCUCCGGUUCAGAAACUUCAAACUUGUAAGCCCUCAAUGAGGCAAUACCUAGUUUACAAGGAAUGACUCUAGAGUCAGGAAACUUUAGAUGACUCGGGUACUGUCCCUGACUGUCACCCCCAUUAAUUUACCAAAACCCCGAGGCCAUAAGACCCAAUGCGGGCAACCUCUAGCUCACAGGACCUUCAUAAGGAAAUACCAAAUCAGUAAGACCUUAAGCAAGACAUGAAUUAUACUUGUACCAAGUAACCAAAUCUGUAAGACCUCAAGUAAGGCAUGUGAAAAUUCAUAAGACCUUACAAAAGGCAUAAAUCCGGAUCUUAAAGUUAAGGCUAUACAUUCGAACUUAUAAAACCCCUAAAAAGGCAUACCCUCAAUGUAAACAAUGAAACUACUUUACUCAGGGACUGAAAGACUCCAGCCAAAUCCAAUGACUCCGGUCACAAGGCUCCGGCCAAACUCACGUGACUCGAGGAUGCCCGACCGUCGCUAUAAAAUCACAGGCCUUCAAUUACUUCGAAAAAACUUCGAAAAGAAUUGGUCAAUCAACCUACCCUCGUUAUAAUCAAUAGAGCUUCGAUCAUAUCAGCUCCAAACAAUAGGCUUCGAAACAAUUCUACCAUCGAGCGAAACCUCUUGAGGUGCUCAUUUAUCGCUACAUAACGGCUCACAAUUGAGGUUCUUAUCGAACCAUCGAAGAGUCGGGCGAGCACAAAAACUUCAAAAAGGUUUUUAGCAAGGGAAAAAUAAAUCCUACAUUAGAGAUCGUACCGACCCAACACGUAAGAACCACUGUCGUCAGCCCGCAUUAGAUGUCGUACCGACCCAGCGCGUAAGAGCCACUAUCACCAGCCGAUAUAUUAAGAGGUCGUACCGACCCUACGCGUAAGAGCCAGCUUAAAUUCAAAAACUUAAGGGUCAAUAAGCUCGAGUCGAAAUCCGACUCGGAGACUAAGCCCGAAAUAGUUAACUAAAAACGCCUAAGGGAAAAUGCGUAAGAGCCUACGAGCCAACCUAACAAGCCUCAGGGCCGAAUUAUAAACCUAACGGUUUUUUCUCAAAGGACAAUUCAUCUGGUUAAUCAUUUACAAAACGUCAAAACUCAAGACAAAGAAAGGCAUACACAAGUAAAUAGAAAUUCAUGGAAGGAGAAAACCAAAAGGUUUCUUUAUAUAUGCACAUAUGAAACAAUGCAAAGCUACAUUUGUAGAUGCUCUCUAAGAGCCCUUUACAAAGAAUCAAAAAGAAAGAGCCUAGUCUAUGUCCCCCUCGAGGACUGUGGCCCGUCAGCCUCUUCCUUAUUAUCUUCGGCAUCAGACAAAAGGAACUUGGCGUCGUAUUCAUCUGCCUUGGUCUGCGCUAUCUCUUCCGAGAGAUAAAAUCCCCUAGCAUGAAUCUCUUCAAGGGUUUCCCUCCGAGAUUUACACCGGGCAUAUUCAUUGCUUCUGCACUCUCGAUCAGAAGCCUCUCUCAGCUCAGCCCCAGCUUCGAUAGCGUCUUUUAAAUAGACGACCACUUUUUUGUAGGCCUUAGCCUGAAUCUCUUCAGCUUCAGACCGGGCAUCCUCGACCUCGGCCUUCAUCUCCAAAAGGUCGGACUCGAGCCUUGCAAUACUGCUCGUCUAAACCGAGCUGUUUUCAUGGGUGUUCCAGAGUUGCACCUCGAGUGCAGAAACCUUGGCCAGAGCAUUCUUCAUGGCCACAACAUGGGCAUCUAUCUGAGCCUUAAGCUCAUUACACUCAAGCUUGGCCUAGCCAACCUCGCCCCAAAGGCAUUCCAAAUCCUUUGUCUUGCCCUGCAACUGAGGUAUCAAAAUGUUAAUCCUUGAGGAUAGAAGUGCAUUCCCUCGGAGUAAAAGUUACCUAUUUCUCAAGGUGGCUUUUGUAGUUUAGGCUUUGAUUAGCCUCACACCAAAGGUGCCUCAAUUCAUUUCCCCUUUCAUCACAAAGAAGCCUGAAAGAUUUCCCCCAUCCAAGUCUUUCCUUAACCAGGCUUCACAGCUGAGCAACUCGGACUUGAGCUUGUCAAAGGCCUAUGAAAAAGAAGCUCAAUGAGAAAACGGAAAUGUAAAAUCAGAAGAUCAACAAAAUUGACCAAGGCUCACCAUAUAACAAAGCCAUUGAGCCUCCUCAAAGGUUGAGCGUGCACCUACUGGCAUGGUCUCACCGGCCCUAGUUGAACCGAUCUCAGUAGGGACACAAUCGUUCGAGACCCCGCUUGAUUUAGGCGGCUCAUGAUCUAAAACAUCCCUCGAAGUAUCUUCGAUGGGGUGCGAGGACGGCGGCUAAACACCUGUACCUCUCGAAAUACCUUCGGCGGGAAAUGAAAACGGUAGCAAGAGAAGAACCACUUUUCCAAGUCUAGAAGCCUCAGAUUCAGCAGGUUUAGCAAAUACAUCUUCUUUGAGCCUUCAAGCAGGGCUUGCCUAGCUAAGAGCACUCUCGUCCUUCGAGGACUCCUUCCGUUUGUUAUCGGUCCUCGACCCCAAAGUCGACGAUUCUUCCGCCUCCCUGAGGGGGCACGGCCUCAUCUCAAAAAAAUCUCCAAUGCUGCGGUGAUGGAGUUAGUACACAUAAAAGAAAGUACCUUUCAAAGGAAUCAAGCCACACACCACGUACUGUGAUGUUUUGCCUCCUAUCUACCCUUGUCCAGAUCUUGCCACUUACGCUCAUCAUAAGUCGAGCAAGCUGCCAGUUUUCGAGACCAAUACGCCAGGUUGGGAACCUCGUGUGGCAUCCAUGGGAUUGCUGCAAAAAAAAGGAAAGGAAAGCAUCAUUACAGAGUCCGCCUUCACCAUGGGCAAAAAUAAUAAGAACACAAGUGUACCACUUACGCGUGAAAUUCCAUUUCUCAUGAAAUGGAAGGAACUCUGCGGGGAUAAUAUCGACAGUCCGCACUCGGAUGAAACGACUCAUCCACUCUCAAUCCCUAUCUUCUUCAUUGCUAACAACAAAAGGGCCGAGUAGAUUGACGUCGCAGAGUAAUCAGGCCUCGAUGAUGCAAGGGCCGGUACAAUCUAAGAAGAUGACUGAGGGUGAACUCGACCUUGGCUUUAUCUGCAAAAUACCUUACCAUCAACACUAUCCUCCAAAAUGGUGGGUGAACCUGUGCCAGGGUAACCCGACAUCUCCUACAAAAUUCGAGCAUGAAUCUGUCGAGGGGGCCCAACGUAAAGCGGUACAUAUAUAUGUUCAAAAAACUCUCGACAUGAGCUAUGUUACUCUCUUCCGGGGAAGGUACCUACAGUACCUCUUUUUCUCCUCAUCCGUAGUCUUUUCUAACUGUCUCGAGGUGCUCCUCCCCUAUGAAAGAAAUAAACCUCAAUGCAUGCUCCCGAUGGCCCUGAACAUUGGGAGGUCUCUCCAACGCAAAGUCCCUCCUCAUGACAAAGCACCUCAACGUUAGCUCACCAGGUACAGGUGGUGUACCACCGACCGAGCGCGAAGCAGAGGCAGAACUCUCCUCUCCUUGGUGAAUGGGUGUGGACGUAGCAGCCAUGGCUAUGAUAAAAUAAGAAAAAGGAAGGUAAAGGCUUGGACGAAAGCUCUUAAAAUGGUAAGAGAACUGGCACAAAAAGAGCUCUAUAAGAGGGAUAGUUACUCAAAGUAGCGGAGUCUUCAAACAAGAAUUAAGCAAAUGAAUAUAUAGAGCAAGCAAGAAUUGUUAAACUAUCCUGAAGGCUAAUUGAUUCUGACCAUGUCAGUGCCAUUUUGGGGAAGUGCACCGAUGGGACCACCCUGGUCACUUCACAAUCGUGUCGCAUAAAUAAUAUUAUCACACAAUGCUCGGGAGCCGUCGAGACCCCAAGAAUUUAUGUUAUUAUAAUCAUUUAUUCUGAAAAGUUAUCGACCUAAUCUCGAGAUGGUGCCUGAUCUCGAGGGUUUCGAUUAUUCUAAGUACGGGCUCUGAAGAGCCAACAUCAAAUUUCAAAGACCAACUCCUCAUGAAUGCUGAAAUAUAAAUAAUUUAAAGUCGAGCCCUAAAGAGGGAUUGUCCCCGAGCCCUCUUCGAGAGUCUCCUCUAUGCGGGUCUGUUCCAUAUCGACCACCCCUGAUUCGGCAGCAUUCCGCCCGGUAACUUGUGGAGCAUAUUCGCCUCGUCUCAUCCUUUGUACCAAAGGGCCUCCAUAAUCAUCAUCACCUUUAUCCUUGGCACGGGGACUUGCCACAACAGCCAAAGCCGAGACCGUGGCGUCGGUCUUAAUUGAAGACUCGGCUGAAGUUUCUUUCUCCCUUUUUUUACCCAUACCGGGAUUAGAGGUUCCCUCUUUACCAGUAGGAGCCGAACUCAUCGACACUCCAUAUCUGAGGCCUGCACAAGCAUAAUGCAUCUAAGUACAAAGGAUACUCAUAAGGGAGCCUAGUAAAGAUAGCAAUAAAGAGCAUACCGUGGUUCUUGGCCUGCCACUGUAUUUUGGCCAAGUCGUGCCAAGAACGAUCAAAAUAAGGUAAAGCAGAAUCCAAUUAAAUGAUCCAUCCCAAUAGAUUCUGAACCACAUCAGGGUACCAAAUGGUGGUUUUAUAAUCAAAAGAAGACCAUUUUUUCAGAAGAGGAUGAAAAGGCAAUAAAAUAUGUUCGGGGUAAGGGCACUUGCGGUUCGUAUUCCACUCCUCCAGGAAUGGCAUCCUAUUAGCCGGGAUAGUGUUCGAGGUCCACACUCAGACAAAUCGACUCAUCCACCCCCGAUCCUUGUCCUCAUCAAUGCUCGAAAAGAACGGCCUCGUGGACUGUAGAUGAAGCUUGAUCAAACCCCGAUAUAAUCGAGGGUUGUAUAAUCUGAUCAAGUGAUUGAGGGUGAAGUUCAUACCCCCAACCUUGUUGGAAAAGUACCAGAGCAUAUGAACUAUCCUCCAGAAAGAAGGAUAGAUCUGACCAAGCGUCACUCGAUACUCAUGGCAAAAAUCGAGAAUCACCAGAUCUAUCAACGGGGAAGAAGGAUCUGAAGAAUCUGUGGGGGCUAAAGUGAAUGGGUAUGUAUACACGCUGAGAAAGUCAGAUUUAUGUUCUACUAUGUUCUCCCCGAAAUUGGGGAUUUCUACUAAUGCUGCCCUCCUCCAUUUUCAGUCUUCCUUCACUCUGCUCGUAUCGGUCACCAUGCUGAUGUAUUGAGACACAGGCUCACAUCGUCUGGUGUGGCAGGGGGAUUUUCGAUGGAAAAAUUGUAUACGAUGUCGAAUUUUGUAGGAGUACAUUGCUCGACAGUUAGGGGUACUUUUGGUUUACCCCUGGAUGAGUGAGACGAAGAAGUAGUGCCCUCCUUUUGAGGUAUCGUUCUAUAGGCCCUAGCCAUAGCUAUAAAAAGGGUUUAUAGGAAGGAAAGUGAAGAAGCAAUGGCAGAAGGGAGAAGAAUGUAUAAUACGAAGGACUAAACUCUAGAAAAUUGAAGAUGUUGUAAAAGUGUGAAUAACAAAAUGGUUGAGGUAUUUAUAGAAGCCGGACCAAUAGCGUUUCGUCAGAUUCUCAAUAGUCGUAUUGAUAGCGACCCCUACGCAGCCUUUGAGUCAUGUCAUUUAAUGUUCUCAUAGGCUGACGUCAUGAUGGUAGUAUCGAAGAAGCAAGAAUUCAAGACCGUUUCUUAUCAUUUUCAUUCUAAGAAAUGCGGGGACUAUAUGUAUGCGGUAAAAAUAUGGUCUGAUUUUAUAUUCAUUAUGACGCUUUGUAGGCACAUCUCUAAGGGCUCGAUGCCAGGUUCGAGGUUCAACACCAAAGGGUUCUCAACUUUCGGCCUCAAAGUAGUGCGAACCGGUAGUUAUGAUGGAAAAAUGAGAGAUUCCCAAGGCACGUGACUAAAGCUGACCAAGUCUAUUAGGCUAGUUCAAGCCCGUACCGAGGCAUUAAAUGGUUGUACCAGCCAUAUAUCUUUGUAAUAAAUAUAUUUGUACUAUGUUGGGAUUCCCCCUAGUAUAUAAAGGGGACCCUAGUUAUUUUGUAAAAUAUAUAAUAUCACUUGCAACAUUCAAUACAAGAACAUUCCAUGCUCUCUAACACAUUCUCUCUUGAUUCUAUGAUUUACAUUUAUUGCUUGCAUUUAUUGUGUUCUAUUUAUUGUUCUUCAUUUAUUGCUCGUUAUUGAACAUAAAGAGCCUUCAUCAAAGCUCUCAAUGUUGUUAGCCCUUCAUUGGUUGUCCACAACUCAGUAUCGAGCUCGACCUCGGGGCCCCGUAUAAUCAGGUUCGAGGCCCCGAUUCUCAGCCGCUCGGUUUGCUUAAACACACUAUUUUCAAGUUCAUACCUUAUCUCCUAGUCUCAUAAUUAGCACCUAUUGCCUAAAACUAGCAUAAAAAUAGAUCACAUAUUUUUAGAACCACAAAAUCCAAUCUAAUUGUAAUUACCAUUUUCAAGGUAAACAUUUAUAUAUGCCCUGUGAGUCUCUUGUUUCAUUUGUUCGUGUAUCUACUCUGGUGGGCGAUACUAUUGUUGUGGACCGCAUAUAUCGGUCGUGUGUGGUGACUAUUGGAGGUUUGGAGACCCGAGUGGACCUUCUAUUGCUUUGUAUGGUUGACUUUGAUAUGAUAUUAGGUAUGGAUUGGCUAUCUCCGUGUCAUGCUAUUUUCGAUUGUCAUGCAAAGAUAGUGACGUUGGCUAUGCCGGAUGUGCCACAGAUUGAGUGGCGAGGUUCGACUGAUUUUGUUCCCAAGGGUGAUUUCAUUUAUGAAGGCCCAUCAGAUGGUUGGGAAAUGUUGUCUUUCAUACUUAGCGUUUGUGAGGGAUGUUAGUGCAGAGACUCCUACCAUUGAUUCGGUCCCGGUAGUGAGGGACUUUCUGGAUGUGUUUCCUGCAAACCUGUUGGGCAUGCCACCAAAUAGGGAUAUUUAUUUUGGUAUUGGUAUGGUGCAGGGCACUUAGCCCAUUUCUAUUCCACUAUGUCGUAUGGCACCAGCGGAGUUGAAGGAGCAGCUUCAGGAACUCCUUGAUAAGGAGUUUAUUCAGCAUAGUGUAUCGCCUUGGGGUGCGCCUAUUCUAUUUGUGAAGAAGAAGGAUGGCACUAUGAGGAUGUGCAAUGAUUACAGGUAGUUGAACAAAGUUACAAUUAAGAACAAGUACCCUUUGCAUAGUAUUGAUGAUUUAUUUGACUAGCUUCAGGGAGCGAGGGUGUUCUCCAAGAUUGAUCUCCAUUCAGGGAAUCACCAGUUAAAGAUCAGGGACUCGGAUAUCCUUACGACAACUUUCAGGACCCGAUAUGGUCAUUAUGAGUUCCUUGCCAUGUUUUUUGGGUUGACCAAUGCCCCAUUAGCAUUCAUGCAUUUGAUGAAUAGUGUGUUUCGGCCUUAUCUCGGCUCGUUUGUGAUUGUUUUUAUUGAUGAUAUUCUAGUGUACUCGUGUAGCUAGGAGGAGCACACUGAGCAUUUGAGAGUUGUGUUGCAGCGGUUGAGGGAGGAGAAGCUUUAUGUAAAGUUCUCCAAAUGUGAGUUUUGGCUAAGUUCAAUGGCUUUCUUAGGGUACGUGGUGUUCAGUGAGGGUAUUAAGGUUGAUCCGAAAAAGAUAGAGGCGGUUCAGAGUUGGCCCAGACCGUCCUCAGCAGCAGAGAUUCACAGCUUUCUUGGAUUGGUGGGUUAUUACCGUCGGUUCGUUAGCAUCUCCCUUGACCAAAUUGACUCAAAAGGGUGCUCCAUUCAGGUGGUCGGAUGAGUGUGAGGCGAGCUUUCAGAAGCUCAAGACUAUUUUGACCACAACUCCAGUGUUAGUUUUGCCAUUAGCUUCAGGUUAAUAUAAAGUGUAUUGUGAUGCUUCGAGAGUUAGUAUUGGGUGUGUGUUGAUGUAGGAGGGUAGAGUGAUUGCUUAUGCUUCUCGUCAUUUGAAGAUCGAUUAGAAGAACUACCAUGUUCAUAAUCUAGAGUUGGCUACCAUUGUUCACGUGUUGAAGAUUUGGAAGCAUUAUUUAUAUAGUGUGUCUUGUGAGGUGUUUACUGAUCAUCGUAGCCUCCAGCACUUGUUUAAUUUUAAGGAUCUCAAUUUUAGGUAGCGGAGAUGGUUGGAGUUGCUAAAGGACAAUGAUAUCACUAUCUUGUACCAUCCGGGAAAGACCAAUGUAGUGGUUGAUGCCUUGAGUAGGAAGGCAGUGAGUAUGGGCAUUUUGGCGUAUAUUCCUAUUAGGGAGAGACCUCUUGCAGUUGAUGUUCAAGCCUUGGCCAAUCAGUUUGUGAGGUUGGAUAUUUUGGAGCCCGGUCGGGUCUUAGCUCGUGUGGUUUCUCGGUCUUCCUUAUUUUAUCGCAUUAGAGAGCGCUAGUAUGAUGAUCCUCAUUUGCUUGUCCUUAAGGACAGAGUUCAGCACAACGAUGCCAGAGAUGUGACUAUUGGUGAUAAUGGGGUAUUGAGGAUGCAGGGCCGGAUAUGUGUACUAAUGUAGACGGGCUUUGGGAGUUGAUUCUGGAGGAGGCCCAACUCGCAGUAUUUCAUUCAUCUGGGUGUCACGAAGAUGUAUUAGGAUCUGAGACAACAUUAUUGGUGAAGGAGAAUGAAGAAAGAUAUUGAGGGAUUCGUAGCUCGGUGUCUCAAUUGUCGGUAGGUGAAAUAUGAGCAUCAGAGACCGGGUGGCUUGCUUCAUUAGAUGGAUAUUCCAGAGUGGAAGUGGGAGCGGAUCACCAUGGAUUUUAUAGUUGGACUCCUAUGGACUUUGAAGAAGUUCGAUGAUAUUUGGGUGAUUGUGUACCGGCUAACAAAGUUCGCGCACUUCAUUCCUGUGUGUACUACCUAUUCUUUAGAGUGGUUGGCAGAGAUCUAUAUUCGAGAGAUUGUUCCCUUACACGGUGUCCCAGUUUCCAUCAUUUCAGAUAGAGGUGCUCAGUUUACUUUGUAAUUUUGGAGGGUCGUGCAGAGAGAGUUAGGUACUCAGGUUGAGUUGAGCACAACUUUUCACCCUCAGAUGGACGGGCAGUCCGAGCGCACUAUUCAGAUAUUGGAUGACAUGUUGCGCAUUUGUAUCAUUGAUUUUGGUAGUUUAUGGGAUCAUUUUCUACCGCUCCUGGAUUUUGCUUAUAAUAACAAUUAUCAGUCGAGUAUUCAGAUGGCUCUAUAUGAGGCUUUAUAUGGGAGACGGUGUAGAUCUCUAGUUGGUUGGUUUGAGUCGGGUAAGGCUAGGCUUUUGGGUACAGACUUGGUGCAGGAUGCUUUGGACAGGGUGAAGGUGAUUUAGGAGCAGUUUCAUACAGCGCAGUCAAGACAAAAGAGUUAUGCUGACAAGAAGGUCCAUGAUGUGUCUUACAUGGUUAGGGAGAAGGUUCUACUGAAGGUUUCACCCAUGAAGAGUGUUAUGAGAUUUGGGAAGAAGAGUAAAUUGAGUCCUCGGUUCAUUGGUCCUUUCAAGGUGCUUCAGAGGAUUGGGGAGGUGGCUUAUGAGCUGACUUUGCCACCUAGCUUGUCGAGUGUGCAUCCAGUAGUUCAUGUUUCUAUGCUCCGGAAGUAUAUUGCCGAUCCGUCUCAUGUUUUGGAUUUCAGUCGGUUCAAUUAGAUGGUGAUUUGACUUAUUGUCACACAUCCUUUUUACCACCCGAAGGGGGAUAUAAUGGAGUUUUUCCAAUUAAAGUGACAUUAAUCGAAAUGAGAUUAUUUUAUUUAUUUUUUAGAGUCACCACUUGGAAUAGUUUAUUUGGUGUCCCAAGUCACCAGUUUAUUUUAAAAUCCCAAAUCGAUGAAAUUUCGACUUUAUUUUUGGUCCGCGAACAUAGAAUAUCGGGUAAGGAAUUUUGUUAACCCGGGAGAAGGUGUUAGGCACUCCCGAGUUCUGUGAUUUUAACACGGUCGCUAAACUAUUAAUAAUUGGCAUAAUUACCUGAUUUAUUACAUAUUUUAAACCUAUUGUGCAUUUUCAACUUUAUAACCACUUUUAUUUAUUAAUGGAAUUAUUUCUAGAACAAGUCACGAUGUCGUACACUCGUUGUUUUUGGUACACAUUGUAAACUGCGUCACAUGAAAUGCACUCGCGAUUUACAACAUGUUCAUUUUUAUUAUUGUUCGAAGUUGUGGUCGGAUUGCAUGAAAUGCACACACGAUUGGGAUUUACGUACCAUGACCAUUCUACGGAAUCGUACCCACUGUCACGAUAAUUUAUUAAUCAUACAAACUACGAUAUUUAAUAUUGAAGAUUGUUGUAAGGCUAUGCUUUAUGCAUAAAAUUUUAUUGGGGAGUAAAUAGGAUGAUUAACAGGAUCUAUUUUGUCCCAAAUCAAUCAGAGCCUCAACUUAGACUAAUUAAGUUUAGACACCAAGCGUACGGUCCAAGUGAGCCUUCUUUAUCAUACUAUCAUUUUCCUAUUCCAAAACUAUACAUAUCUCAGAGAAUUAUUGAGGCCAAAUGAAUAUGAUACAAUAAAAGGUCCAAAACAGCAAAUAUCUACAAGAAAAGCUAAGGAAGGAAAUUGGCACCACAAAUAAUUAAAGAAAACAUCUAAGACAUAUUUGAUAUGAAAAUAAUUGACAAUGAAAUGGACCUCUCAUGGCUUUAUGUGUAACAGAACAAACAACACACAUUUGGAGGCAUUUAAUGAGCUAAAAACAUUUGAUAUUAUUUAACAAGCCAACAAAGAGCAUGGAGUGACGAGAAAACGGACCUCUGUGAACUUAGAAAUUCUUUAAAAAAAUGAAGCUUGAUAACUGAAAUUCAGACAAAAAACUUGCCGGAGACCUCGAUGACCUCGACAAACUGAGCUCAACUUAAGAGAACAACAACAACUAAAGAAGCUGAAGCUGCUAUGUUUUAUAAUAAAAGAGAGCUGGCCGGAGAUGGUGAAACUCCAGCGUAACGCCGGCAAGGCAGUGAACUAGUGGAAAUGCAUUUACAUGGCUUUAGAACUGAUUUUAGGAGUGGGAUGGAGAAGCCACAACUGCUGCAUUUUUUUUAGAUCUGCUGCUGUGUUUUCUGCUAUGUUUGGAGAGCUUCCGGAGGUGAUUUUACUGGGUUUUAGAGCUAUUUCGUGGUUGAUUUUCAUAGCCUUUGGGGUUGAAAUUUGGGCGGUAAUGGGGUGUUUAUGGCUGAUCUUUGAAUGAAGAAGGAGGCUCUGUAUUUUUUUGUAUUCCCCCGUCUCUUUUCUCUAUCCGCUUUCCCGUUUUUCCCUCUGUUUUUGUGUCUCCUUUUUUCAUUUUUCCCUUUUUUUCUUUUUUGUGUGUUUAUGUUUUAUAUAUAUUUGUGAGUGUGUGUAUUUAUG
rnacentral:lncRNA from 1 species